rnacentral:rRNA from 1 species
AGUGAACGCUGGCGGUAGGCUUAACACAUGCAAGUCGAACGGCAGCACAGUAAGAGCUUGCUCUUAUGGGUGGCGAGUGGCGGAAGGGUGAGGAAUAUAUCGGAAUCUACUUUUUCGUGGGGGUUAACGUAGGGAAACUUACGCUAAUACCGCAUACGACCUACGGGUGAAAGCAGGGGAUCUUCGGACCUUGUGCGAUUGAAUGAGCCGAUGUCGGAUUAGCUAGUUGGCGGGGUAAUGGCCCACCAUGUCGACGAUCCGUAGCUGGUCUGAGAGGAUGAUCAGCCACACUGGAACUGAGACACGGUCCAGAGGCCUACGGGAGGCAGCAGUGGGGAAUAUGGGACAGUGGGCGCAAGCCUGAUCCAGCGAUACCGCGUGGGUGAAGAAAGCCUUCGGGUUGUAAAGCCCUUUUGUUGGUAAAAAACAGCAUCAGGUUAAUACCCCGCUGGUCUGACGGUACCCAAAGAAGAAGCACCGGCUAACUUCGUG